UAUCUCUGUAGAGUCUGCAUAUCAAUAAGCGGAGGAAAAGAAACUAACAAGGAUUCCCUUAGUAACGGCGAGUGAAGCGGGAAGAGCUCAAAUUUGAAAUCUUCAAGGUUCUACCUUGACGAAUUGUAGUUUAAAGAAGUGUUUUCUGUUGGAGUUUUGGUAAAAGUUCUUUGGAAUAGGACAUCAUAGAGGGUGAGAAUCCCGUAUUUGACCAUUACUUCCAGCGUUGUGAUACACUUUCAAAGAGUCGGAUUGUUUGGGAAUGCAGUCCAAAAUGGGUGGUAAAUUUCAUCUAAAGCUAAAUAUUGGCGAGAGACCGAUAGCGAACAAGUACCGUGAGGGAAAGAUGAAAAGAACUUUGAAAAGAGAGUUAAACAGUACGUGAAAUUGUCAAAAGGGAAGCGUUUGACACCAGUGUUGUUUUUCCGAAAAUCAAUUACGAAUGGCUUGAUUCUGUGUUGUAUUGACCUUAUCAGCUUUCUUCACUUUUUUCGAGUCUUUCUUAAUGCACUUUUCGGUUAACAAGUCAACAUCAAUUUCUUUUGUUGUAAAAGAGUAUUCGGAAGGUGGCUUUCUUUUGGAGAAAGUGUUUAUAGCCCUAUACUUCUACAAUCGGAGAGAUUGAGGUCUGCAGCGUAGAUCCUUCGGGGUUAGAUACACUUGUGCUAAGUUGAUAGCCUUUCAUAGACAACUUGUUGACUAUGAUCAGUCAUGUAGCUUACUCGCUUAUGCUAUUUUACCUACGCUUAGGAUGUUGACGAGACUGUCGAUCUC
rnacentral:rRNA from 1 species